rnacentral:rRNA from 1 species
AUUCCAGCUCCAAUAGCGUAUAUUAAAGUCGUUGCGGUUAAAAAGCUCGUAGUUGGAUUUCUGCCGAGGAUGACCGGUCCGCCCUGUGGGUGUGCAUCUGGCUCAGCCUUGGCAUCUUCCUGAAGAACGUAGCUGCACUUGACUGUGUGGUGCGGUAUUUGGGACAUUUACUUUGAGGAAAUUAGAGUGUUUACGGCAGGCAAUCGCCUUGAAAAUGUUGGCAUGGAAUAAUAACAUAAGACUUUUUGUCUAUUUUGUUGGUUCCUAGACGGGAAGUAAUGAUUGAUAGGGAUAUUUGGGGGCAUUCGUAUUAUGCGGUCAGAGGUGGAAUUCUUGGAUUCGCAUACGACGAACUACUGCGAAAGCAUUUGCCAAGGAUGUUUUCAUUG